UCGCUUCCUCCCGGGCCGCUCCGCAGGCAGCUGCGACUCCAGCAACACCAUCUUUCUCCCACUGCCCUUCCCUGGGCCCCCAGAUCCUCCUCUCGCCCCUGCCACCCCAAGUGGCAGGGGUGGACAUUUCCCCCAAAUCCUGCGCCCACUGGGGACGCGAUCCCUGGAGAAGGAGGUCACCCUCUCCAAGGGAGGGCUACAACAGGUGCACCGGUGAGGCCGCACUAUAACCUGGCGAGGCUAAGGGGCUGUGGGCUGUGGCCGGCGCUGGAGGAUCGCACAGUCCCUGCUGAGGGUCCUUGCUCCGCCACUAACUGCAAAACUCCAGGGGAGUCAGCCAGCUUCUCGGAGGCGUCUCUCUACUCCACAAUACGGUGAUGACGUAUUGGCGGAUAAGGUUUGGCGGUUAACGUAUCCGCCAACAUUGGGAAGUUGGGAAAACUAGGAGUUCAGGUAGCAAAGCACCUAGCGCGGCGGGGGACUCCUGGCAGGCGCUCUCCUCCGGUGGGGUGGAGGGCUAAGAGGAACACCAGGCGACCUCCUCAAAGGGAUCAGGGAGUCAAGAUUUGGGGUCUAACACCGGAGGCCAGCUGCCAGUGUCGGCGCAUGCGCAGUAACUCCUUGGUGCUGGUGAUAUGGUAGUGAAACAACACAUCAGAAACCCCUGGCUUGAUAGAGCUGAUUCCUGAGUUUGUAGAAUAAGAUGAAAGAUUGAACAUCAAAUAAAAGGGGGAGCCAGAAACAUUUGGUCCAUAGCGUGCCAAGUACGUGGAAAAUGUGGGAACACAUGUAAAAAGAAGAUUUCUGCCUGGUGCAGGUGGAGUGAUUGUAUCCACAAAAGCUACAAGAGUUCACAUUUGAGCUGCAUCUAGAAGAAUGGAGGAUUUUCUAAAGGUUUCCAGUACAGCCCAUUGGAUCUGUAAUGUUUUGUGAAGAUCUGCCCAACCUUUCUUCUUAUCUGCUUAGCAUCCCAUCAUCUGAGAUCUGUGCUCUUUUCAACGUGACAGCCAACUAAUCUAAAAAUGCAAUUGCUAACUGUGUGUAAAAGAAGUAUUCAUUAUUUGUAUGCUCGUAAAAGGUUAGCGUCAUGCUUUUACAGUCAGUGGCAGAUGUUGAAGAAAGUUUAUAUUGGAAGACAGAAUGUACAAGACGAAAGAAAGAAAUUCUACACUAAACCAUGGCUGGUUUGAGACUAGCAAAAUUAUAUAAAAUGAAUCAAUAACUGCCAGACAAUAUGAGACUCAAAAAGAUGCUCUAUAGGCUUAUGAGCUUGUUAAAUAGAGUCUUAAAACACGCCAUCAAAUUUAUUUUAAAAUAUGAGGAACCAGUCUCAACAAAUCUCAAGAAUAAACCUACAGAAGCUGUUACCAUGUCAUAGGGAGAUUCAGCUAAAUAUCAACAAUUAACUUAGAAAAUUCUCAAACUGUUUGAAAUUUAGUCAGUGUUCUUACUUAAAGAUGAUAAAAAUACAACAUCUUGUAAAUUAUGCUAGCAGCUAAAGCUUAUGUAGAGGAAAAGAUGUAAUUGUAGUUCUUAACAAUUGGAAAGAUUGAACCGUUGACACAGCCUAAUUAUCCGGCUCAAGGUGUUAAAAAUAGAAAGGCGUAAAAAACAAGAGCAUAAAUGAGACUGAGAACACACUGAAAUAUUGAAAUCAAAUUUAAAAUUGUACAAAAUC